UCACCGCGGUUAUAAAAUCAGUGGGCUUGCGCUGCGUCAGCGUUCCUCAGUUGGCGGUUAACAUCUAACUUGAGAAGCCACUGACGACCAGCCGACUCUCUAUUUUCAUUAUUCUUUCAGGUGAAACUGGCCCCCCGAUCCCUCAGAUGUCACAAAAUGUCCGACAGUGGCAAAUUCUGCCCCACCCUGUGGGGUCACGUGCCAGUUGAUGAUGUCAUAGGAAGCAGGUGGAUCUCCAUUCUGGUCAAAGUGGACGGGGUCACCCACAUGUGUAGUGAAGUUCACACCUCUCAGGUGCUGGAGGUUGGGACACAGGUCUCCAGGAGGGCAGGCCAGCAUGCCAUGCAGAGCGUGGGCGAUGGCGUACACUGCCUUGUACACGUUAUAGGUGCCCCUCAGCUGUGACACAUCCGCGUACAUACUCUCCCCCUCCACUGGGUUUCAGAAAUUGAAACAAGCUGAUUUACAUGAAAAUCAUGUCAAACCGAGCAGUGCCCUGACCGGCCUCCAAAGAACACCCAAACAGCUCUUCCCACAAUUCCCUGAGGAAGGGGUCGUGAUGGGGCGAGGGCCCGUCUGGCUUCAGCUGGGUCAGGAAGUCUCCCAGCCCAGGGAUAGGGGCCCUCCGGAGGGCAAACCCGAUGGUGCCGGCCAGCGACGGGAGGUUCUCGGGGACUGAGAGGCUGGUGAAGGUGACCCAGGCCUCGGUAGCGACCCACUGCUUAUCUGUGAUGUUCUGACGGACUACUUCUUUUAACAGAAACUGUUUAAUGAAAAACAGGGUCAGGGAAGUUGUCUUUUUCUGUCUGAGAAAUCGGUUUGUCUUUUAAAGUAUGCUAUUUGUGGAAUCCCCCUUGCACCAUGGAAUAAGAUAAUGUGUUGCAUGCUCCACCAAAGCUAUGUUGUGUGCUAUGCUACGUUAUGUGACAAUGGCAGAUAUCAGGGCCACAUAAAAUAUCGACAUAGGGCAUUUCUGCCCUGCUAUAUUGUUCUGAUGCAUAUAUGGCAACAAUACAAGAUAAUGUUGCAAGUGGAAUCAUAUUAAUUGUGAGUAUCUGAGAUAGACCUGUAUUGACGAGGCUCACCUGUGCAUCCUGGGAGAUGGCAAACACCACCACAACCGUGGCAGAGGACCUCUGGAUGGUGUCAACCACCCGACUGAUCCUGCUCUGGGAAUGGACCUUAGGGGAGAAGAAAAGGAUGAUUAGAGAGAGAGAAGAGAAGUGAAACUGAAGAGAAGUGAGAGAAAGUGCAAGAGGAUGAGAGAGGAGAGAGAAAAAGAGAGAGAAGAAUAUACAAAAUCAAAAACAUACAGAAACAGAUACCGACACGAGAACAAUGAGGCAGGUCUUCAGACAGUACUUUGGGGACCUCAGAGAGAGAGAGAGAGAGAGAGAAAGAGAGAGAGAGCGUGAAAGAGGAAAGCCUAUACAGAUGGAUGAACAGACACAGACUUGUCUAGAAUACCUUGGGGAUGACCUCAGAGUAGGAGACACACACUCCAGAGCCCUUCAGCUCCUGCAGCAGCAUUUGGACCCCAUACUUCCCGUAGUCAUCGUCCCCAGACACCAGGCCCACCCAGGUCCAGCCAAGCCGGGACAGAAGUGAGGCCAUGGCCCGCGCCUGGAAGGCAUCGCUGGGAACAGUCCUGAAGAAGGAGGGGUACUUCCUACUGUCACUCAAACAUGCACAGGACGCAAAGUAGCUCACCUGGGGGGAAAGGAGAGAGAGGGAGGGAGAGAGAGAGAAAAUGACAAAGGAGAGGGAAAGUAAGAACUAGAUUUAAAUGUAGGUGGGUAGGUACUAUAUUCAUCUAUGAGGGGAAAUAUCAGCGUAAUAGUAGGCAAAAUAAAAAAAGUUAUACAAAUAAAUACACAGGGCUGUACAAGGGGUAAUAAAGAGGGUAAAUUCACUUAUGCAUGAAACAAUUUAAACGCAGGUGACAGCAAUGGAAGCAAAUCAGUAUGAUUACAGUACAAUUAAAACCUUUACAAUUUGCCAUGACACACACAGAUGGAGUAUUUAGACAUAGAAAAACAGUUGUUCUCCCUCAUAUUCGAGCACAGCAUCGCAAAAAAGUAAGGAAGUGGAAAGAAGAAGGAAUAUUUAUUAGUAACCUCCCAACCUACCAUGGGCAGGGUAAACACUCCCAGGGUCUGUGCCACCACGAUGGAGGAGGAGGAGCGGUCGUCUCCGAUGAUGACUGGCACCUCGGGGGUUGUGCCACAGUCUGUGCCUGAUAUGGAGUCUUCCUGCCCGGUCACCAUGCCCAGGGCUGCCCCCAAGGUGGUGCCCUCGGCCAGGCAGGAGUCUGAGGCCAGGUACCCCAGCCUGAGCCCAGGGAGGAGGCUAGGGUUACGGUUCACCUCCUCCACAGCAAAGAUCAUGGUCUGGAGCCAGCGGUACGCACGCUGGUUGAAACUGGAGCAGGGGAGCAAGAUAAAGGGAGGGAAGGGAGAAGAAAAGAGUUCUGGGUUAAAGGACCUGGGUUUGCACAACUGCAAAGAGGGAGAUUGAAUAAUUUCACAGACGACUCUUCAAAAACAAUUGUAAACAUUUGCUUUUACAAACCACUUACAUGGUACAGUUAGUGUUGCUGCGUUGGCUCCUAAACUCCAGCUCAGGUUCUGGAGCUUCCACAUGGAUAGGGAACAGUCCCCCGAUCACCACGUCCCCUGCCCGAUAUACACUGCCGGACACAGGCUUAGCCAACAGCCGGCAGGCCCCCCCUCCUGCCAGCCCCAGGACCAGCCCAGGGAGGCAGGCCAGCAACCACAGCCGGCCAGAGAGCCACAUCACCUGGGGAGAGGACCGACGGAGAACCAUCACAUGGAGCUGAGAAAAGAAGACCAACUUAAAGGAUGGACAGUGAUCAGACACAGCCUCAGCAGGAUGAUGUAACACUUUGGGACGAAGAUGCAGGCCAGAAGUCCGUAACUGGAGGCCAGGAUGGCAAAGAUCUCCACGGCAACCGUGUACUUUCCCGGAGAGCUGACAUAGGCGGGGACGAACGACACCCACACAGCGCAGAAGAUCAGCAUGCUGAAGGUGAUGAGCUUGGCCUCGUUGAAGUUGUCUGGGAGUUUUCUGGCCAGGAAGGCCAGGAGGAGGCAGAGGGAGGCCAGCAGGCCGAUGUACCCCAGGACCAGGGAGAAGCCCGCCACGGAGCCCACAGCACAUUCCAACAAGAUCUUGGGCCCCUGGUCUCCUCUGAUGCCCCUCUCUGUAGGCCGAGGGGGGGCCAGGGACAGCCACAACACACAGAUCAGCACCUGGGAACAGAAACCUUCAUUUGAUAACCCUGAAGCCACUGCUUGGUGUACCAUUAGUUCAUUACAUUGUAAGCUUGUCAGGCCCACCUGUACCAGCGUGCAGAGAGAGAUGCCCAGCCUCUGCUGGUUGGGACCCAGGUACCGCAUUAGGUUCUCUCCAGGGAGGGUGGAGCGGAAGGCCACCAGAACCACCACGGUUCUGCUCAGCAGGCAGGAGAGGCACAGCACGAAACUGAUCCCAAACAGGGUGUGUCUCAGCAUGCAGGACCAAGGCCUGGGCUGACCAAUGAAUGCCAGCGCACACAGGAAGCAGAGCUUGAGUGACAGCAGAAGCAGGAAGCUCAGCUCUGAGUUGUUGGCCCGGACCUAAAGAGAUUAAUAAAUACAAAAACAUUAUACAGGAAACCUAUCAUAUAAAAUGUUGUAAGAGUACAAAUAUGUAACAGCAGUGUAGCAUGUUCUAAAUCCCACAGUGUAUUCGUACCAGUGGCGUGUGUCGGUGACAAAUAAAAGUAAUCAAGGUUGCGGCUGUUAGUGUUGCCCCGACAACAGAGAUGACGGACAGGGCGAUUCCCAUGCUGUCGCUGAGGGACAGGAAGUCCACCUGCUGGGGGAUGCACUCAGUGUGGUCUGGGCUGGACCAGAACCUCUCAGGACACCGGCUGCA